GCCUCUUUAGCUCAGUGGUAGAGCGUCUGCCUCGUAAGCAGAAGGUCGCUGGUUCAAUCCCGGUAGGGGGCA
rfam:Smittium culicis strain GSMNP scaffold-8979, whole genome shotgun sequence.